CAAUAGCGUAUAUUAAAGUUGUUGCAGUUAAAAAGCUCGUAGUUGGAUUUGUGGCGUACGGUGGGUUCCGGGCACUUGUUGUCUGAGUAACUUGCUGUUGCCAUCCUUGGGUGGAACCUGUGUGGCAUUAGGUUGUCGUGCAGGGGAUGCCCAUCAUUUACUGUGAAAAAAUUAGAGUGUUCAAAGCAGGCUUAUGCCGUUGAAUAUAUUAGCAUGGAAUAAUGAGAUAGGACUUUUUCGCUAUUUUGUUGGUUUGCGCAAAGAGGUAAUGAUUAAUAGGGACAGUUGGGGGUAUUCGUAUUCCAUUGUCAGAGGUGAAAUUCUUGGAUUUUUGGAAGACGAACUACUGCGAAAGCAUUUACCAAGGAUGUUUUCAUUAA
rnacentral:rRNA from 1 species